UCUGGCAGAGGAGACAAGCCCUGGAUUUCCAAGUCCUCCCAGUAAGGGUUCAACACUGAACACAGGACACUCACCAUGGACUUAGGGCUUAUAAUGGUUUUCUUUGUCCUUAUUUUGAAAGGUGUCCAUUGUGAGGAGCAAUUGCUGGAGUCUGGAGGAGGCUUAGUGCAGCCUGGAAAGUCCCUGAAACCCUCCUGUGUAGCCUCUGAAUUUUCCUUCAGCAAUAGUUACAUGAGCUGGGUCCGCCAGCCUCCAGGGAAGGGACGGGAGUGGUUUGCACACAUUAGCCCAGAUGGUGGUACCACCUGGUAUAUCAACGCUAUGAAGGGCCGGUUUACAAUCUCAAGAGACAAUGCCAAGAACACUCUGUACCAGGAAAUGAGCAGUCUGAGAUCAGAGGACAAAGCCAUGUAUUACUGUGCAAGAGACAAGUGA